rnacentral:rRNA from 1 species
CCUACGGGAUGCUGCAGUAGGGAAUAUUGCUCAAUGUGGGAAACCCUGAAGCAGCAACGCCGCGUGGAGGAUGAAGGUUUUAGGAUUGUAAACUCCUUUUGUUAGAGAAGAUUAUGACGGUAUCUAACGAAUAAGCACCGGCUAACUCCGUGCCAGCAGCCGCGGUAAUACGGAGGGUGCAAGCGUUACUCGGAAUCACUGGGCGUAAAGAGUGCGUAGGCGGGGUAAUAAGUCAGAUGUGAAAUCCUGUAGCUUAACUACAGAACUGCAUUUGAAACUGUUACUCUGGAGUGUGGGAGAGGUAGGUGGAAUGCUUGGUGUAGGGGUAAAAUGCGUAGAGAUCAAGAAGAAUACUCAUUGCGAAGGCGACCUGCUGGAACAUUACUGACGCUGAUGCACGAAAGCGUGGGGAGCAAACAGGAUUAGAUACCCCUGUAGUC